AAGGCAACGACGGAUAUCGGGUGUGAGAGCACGACCCGACUCACUGGGACUGAGACACUGCCCAGACUCCUACGGGAGGCUGCAGUCAAGAAUAUUCCUCAAUGGACGAAAGUCUGAAGGAGCGACGCCGCGUGACCGAUGAAGCCCUUAGGGGUGUAAAGGUCUUUUAUUAGGGAAGAACUUUUGACGGUACCUAAUGAAUAAGGGGUUGCUAACUCUGUGCCAGCAGCAGCGGUAAUACAGAGACCCCGAGCGUUAUCCGGAUUUAUUGGGCGUAAAGCGUGCGCAGAUGGUUUUCUAAGUCCGUGGUCAAAUCCUGAUGCUUAACAUCAGGACUGCCAUGGAUACUGGGAGACUAGAGGGUGGAAGAGGCUAGCGGAAUUGCCGGUGUAACGGUAAAAUGUGUUAAUAUCGGCAAGAACACCAGAGGCGAAAGCGGCUAGCUGGUACACUCCUGACAUUGUGGCACGAAAGCGUGGGUAGCGAAUGGGAUUAGAUACCCCAGUAGUCCACGCCGUAAACGAUGGAUAUUAGCCAUUGGCAGUAUCGACCCUGCCAGUGGCGGUUAAAAAAGCUAACGCAUUAAAUAUCCCGCCUGGGAAGUACGAACGCAAGUUUAAAACUCAAGGAAUUGACGGGGGCCCGCACAAGCGGUGGAGCAUGUGGUUUAAUUCGACGAUAAGCGGAAAACCUUACCAGGCUUGACAUGUAGCUGCACAUCCCGAGAAAUCGGGACUCCUUCGAGGGGUGCUAUACAGUGCUGCAUGGUUGUCGUCAGCUCGCGCCGUGAGGUGUAGCCUUAAGUG
rnacentral:rRNA from 1 species